GACGAACCGUGCGAACGUUGUUCGGAAUCACCGGGCUUAAAGGGCGCGUAGGCGGGCUGCCGCGUCCGGGGUGAAAUCCUCCCGCUCAACGGGAGAACGGCCUCGGAUACGGGCGGCCUCGAGGGGGGUAGGGGCAUCUGGAACUGUGAGUGGAGCGGUGAAAUGCGUUGAUAUUCACAGGAACUCCGGUGGCGAAGGCGAGGUGCUGGACCCCAUCUGACGCUGAGGCGCGAAAGCCAGGGGAGCGAACGGG
rnacentral:rRNA from 1 species